ACAGGGAGAAGAUGAUCUGCAGGAUCCUGCUGCUCAUCAUCCUCACCUCAUGUGUCUCUGGAUCAUUUGUAGUCAAUGUGACACAGACCUGCUAUCAGGCAGAGGAGAACCACAACAUCACACUGGAGUGGACGUUCACCACCAAACCUGACAGAUCCAC